UGGGGAAUCUUGCACAAUGGGCGAAAGCCUGAUGCAGCGACGCCGCGUGCGGGAUGAAGGCCUUCGGGUUGUAAACUUCUUUGAUCAGGGAAGAAACAAAUGACGGUACCUGAAAAACAAGCCACGGCUAACUACGUGCCAGCAGCCGCGGUAAUACGUAGGUGGCGAGCGUUAUCCGGAUUUACUGGGUGUAAAGGGCGUGCAGGCGGGCUGAUAAGUCAGAUGUGAAAUCCCCGAGCUUAACUCGGGAACUGCAUCUGAUACUGUUGGUCUUGAGUGCUGGAGAGGAUAGUGGAAUUCCUAGUGUAGCGGUAAAAUGCGCAGAUAUUAGGAGGAACACCAGUGGCGAAGGCGGCUAUCUGGACAGUAACUGACGCUGAGGCGCGAAAGCGUGGGUAGCAAACAGG
rnacentral:rRNA from 1 species